CACGUAGGGCGCAAGCGUGUCCGGAAUUAUUGGGCGUAAAGAGCUCGUAGGCGGUCUGUUGCGUCCGCUGUGAAAACUCGGGGCUUAACCCCGAGCCUGCAGUGGAUACGGGCAGACUAGAGGUAGGUAGGGGAGAAUGGAAUUCCCGGUGUAGCGGUGAAAUGCGCAGAUAUCGGGGAGGAACACCGGUGGCGAAGGCGGUUCUCUGGGCCUUACCUGACGCUGAGGAGCGAAAGCGUGGGGAGCGAACAGG
rnacentral:rRNA from 1 species